rnacentral:misc_RNA from 1 species
AACGCACAUUGCGCCCCUUGGUAUUCCAUGGGGCAUGCCUGUUCGAGCGUCAUUUGUACCUACAAGCUCUGCUUGGUGUUGGGUGUUUGUCUCGCCUCUGCGUGUAGACUCGCCUUAAAGAAAUUGGCAGCCAGUGUAUUGGUAUAGAAGCGCAGCACAAUUUGCGAUUCUAGCUAAUAAUUACUUGCAACCAUCAAGUCUAUUUAACACUUUUGACCUCGGAUCAGGUAGGGAUACCCGCUGAACUUAA